UUUCCGUAGGUGAACCUGCGGAAGGAUCAUUACUGAGUGAGGGCCCCUCGGGGUCCAACCUCCCACCCGUGUUUAACGAACCUUGUUGCUUCGGCGGGCCCGCCUCACGGCCGCCGGGGGGCAUCUGCCCCCAGGCCCGCGCCCGCCGAAGCCACCUGUGAACGCUGUCUGAAGUAUGCAGUCUGAGACAAUUAUUAAAUUAAUUAAAACUUUCAACAACGGAUCUCUUGGUUCCG
rnacentral:misc_RNA from 1 species